UACGGGGGGGGCAAGCGUUGUUCGGAAUUACUGGGCGUAAAGGGCUUGUAGGUGGCCAACUAAGUCAGACGUGAAAUCCCUCGGCUUAACCGGGGAACUGCGUCUGAUACUGGAUGGCUGGAGUGUGGGAGGGGGAUGCGGAAUUCCAGGUGUAGCGGUGAAAUGCGUAGAUAUCUGGAGGAACACCGGUGGCGAAGGCGGCAUCCUGGACCAUUACUGACACUGAAAAGCGAAAGCCAGGGGAGCAAACGGG
rnacentral:rRNA from 1 species